CCAGAGAAUUUAGCAGAGAUGCUUUAGUGCCUUCGGGAACUCUGAGACAGGUGCUGCAUGGCUGUCGUCAGCUCGUGUUGUGAAAUGUUGGGUUAAGUCCCGCAACGAGCGCAACCCUUAUCCUUUGUUGCCAGCACGUAAUGGUGGGAACUCAAAGGAGACUGCCGGUGAUAAACCGGAGGAAGGUGGGGAUGACGUCAAGUCAUCAUGGCCCUUACGAGUAGGGCUACACACGUGCUACAAUGGCGCAUACAAAGAGAAGCGACCUCGCGAGAGCAAGCGGACCUCAUAAAGUGCGUCGUAGUCCGGAUUGGAGUCUGCAACUCGACUCCAUGAAGUCGGAAUCGCUAGUAAUCGUAAAUCAGAAUGUUACGGUGAAUACGUUCCCGGGCCUUGCACACACCGCCCGUCACACCAUGGGAGUGGGUUGCAAAAGAAGUAGAUAGCUUAACCUUCGGGAGGGCGUUUACCACUUUGUGAUUCAUGACUGGGGUGAAGUCGUAACAAGGUAAGCGUAGUGCU
rnacentral:rRNA from 1 species